UACGUAGGGUGCAAGCGUUAAUCGGAAUUACUGGGCGUAAAGCGUGCGCAGGCGGUUGUGCAAGACCGAUGUGAAAUCCCCGGGCUUAACCUGGGAAUGGCAUUGGUGACUGCACGGCUAGAGUGUGUCAGAGGGGGGUAGAAUUCCACGUGUAGCAGUGAAAUGCGUAGAUAUCGGGAGGAAUACCUAUGGCGAAAGCAGGCUACUGGACCAUCACUGACGCUGAUCUGCGAAAGCUAGGGGAGCAAACAGG
rnacentral:rRNA from 1 species